AUUGAACGCUGGCGGCAGGCUUAACACAUGCAAGUCGAACGAGUGGCGGACGGGUGAGUAAUGGUUGGGCAUCUGGCUUAUGGAGGGGGAUAAGUACGGGAAACUGUGUCUAAUACCGCGUACCAUAGGAUGAGCCCAAGUGGGAUUAGGUAGUUGGUGGGGUAAAGGCUCACCAAGGCGACGAUCUCUAGCUGGUCUGAGAGGAUGACCAGCCACACUGGGACUGAGACACGGCCCAGACUCCUACGGGAGGCAGCAGUGGGGAAUUUUGGACAAUGGGCGCAAGCCUGAUCCAGCCAUGCCGCGUGUCUGAAGAAGGCCUUCGGGUUGUAAAGGACUUUUGUCAGGGAAGCGGUACCUGAAGAAGAAGCACCGGCUAACUACGUGCCAGCCGCCGCGGUAAUAC
rnacentral:rRNA from 1 species